AUAAGUCAAGAAAUGCUAAUCUUCCAUCUUUGUUUCUUCUACUGCUUUGUCUCUUCUCUGAAAUUGAAGGGAUUGAGACCACUCGCCGGAGAGUAGUAGAAGAACCAGUGAGAGGGCGAAUUGCAACCCCUCCAUCUGUAACAUGCGGAGGCCAAAGACUUGGAGGACCACAACCAAGUUUAAGUCCAUGCCCACGUCCACGGCCACGGCCACGUCCAGGCUCUUUAAGAAGAUCUACUACCGACCCUUGAAGAAAAAGGAAAUAAAAAUAUAAAUAUUCUAUUUUUGUGCAGCAACUUUUAUUUACAUUUUGUUAGACACAAACAAAGUUUUAAUCCAAAAAAAUGGUACUUUUAUAUGUU